UACGUAGGGUCCGAGCGUUGUCCGGAGUUACUGGGCGUAAAGCGCGCGCAGGCGGCGGUGCUGGCCCGGCGUGAAAGCCCCCGGCUCAACUGGGGAGGGUCACGCGAUACUGAUCGACUGGAAGGCAGGAGAGGGUAGUGGAAUUCCCGGUGUAGUGGUGAAAUGCGUAGAUAUCGGGAGGAACACCAGUGGCGAAGGCGACUACCUGGCCUGUUCUUGACGCUGAGGCGCGAAAGCUAGGGGAGCAAACGGG
rnacentral:rRNA from 1 species